AUCUGGGCGGCGGAAUUCAAGACGGCUGGCGGGUCUCGCGCUCGUUCGGCCGUUUGAUAUUUCCGUCGCCGUGUCAGACGUCGCGACCUGUUUGUCGUCGGUCCUUGCUCGGAGGAAUUGCGAUCGAGUUCGUUGCGGGCGCGUUUCGGCGUGCUUCGCGGCGAAGACGCGACUCUCUGGCCGACGACGGACAGUAAGCAACGGUGUCUGGCGCCGUGUCUCGCACUCGGCGUCGGUGCCGGUCAGCGACGAUUUCUUCGGACCUCUUUCCGACCCGUCUUGAAACACGGACCAAGGAGUCUAACAUGCGCGCGAGUCGCGGGGUUUCGAGCGUACCACGGUGCGCUCGUUACUUCCGAAACCCGUACGUUGAAGGCGUAAUGAAAGUGAACAGGGAAGAUGGCGUUCCGAGACCACGUACCGUGAUCGAGUAUCGCGGCCGGACGUCCGCACUCCCGGGGCGUCUCAAUGGUUCGCCACGGAUGCGGACGAUCGUCUUUCGGGGCGGUGGUCGGUCUGUGGCGGUCCGA
rnacentral:rRNA from 1 species